CGGUCUCCCAAUAUGGCGGCUCCCUUAUGAAUUGGCCAACUGGGAGCCGCCAUAAUCUGUUUCACAAGGUCCUGGCUUCCUGGGAUAAAAUAGUUCUAUGAGGAAAAAAGUGAAGGUACGAAGAUCAGCACUGCAUCCUUAUCCAGAGACCUUGAACUAGAGAUUCAGAAUAGAGCCCAGAAUCAACAACAGAGCAGAUAUUAGAUUUUCUGAUGGUAUAUAUAAGGACUCCAGAAAAUGUCUCAAGGAUCACUGUCAUUCAAGGAUGUGGCUAUGGUUUUCACGUGGGAGGAGUGGCAGCUACUGGACCGUGUUCAGAAAAUCCUGUAUCAAGAUGUGAUGUUGGAAAAUUAUAGCAACCUAGUAUCAGUGGGGUAUCAAGUUACCAAAGCAGAUGCAUUCUACCAGUUGGAACGUGGAACACAAUGGAUAACAGAGGAAGAAAUCCAGAGUCAGACUC